rnacentral:rRNA from 1 species
UACGGAGGGUGCGAGCGUUGUCCGGAAUCACUGGGCGUAAAGGGCGCGUAGGUGGCGCGAGGAGUCUGUGGUGAAAGCCCGAGGCUCAACUUCGGGUCGGCCGCGGAUACUCUCGUGCUGGAGGGUGGUAGAGGCCAAUGGAAUUCCGGGUGUAGCGGUGGAAUGCGUAGAGAUCCGGAAGAACACCGGGUGGCGAAGGCGGUUGGCUGGGCCGACACCCUGGACACUGAGGCGCGACAGCGUGGGGAG